UUUAUAAGUUGAAGGAACGAGCUCGAAGAACAUAGUCAGACACGCAGUUGCGAAGAUGGCUCACUUGUCCUGUCUCUCCGCAUUCUCUCUCUCCUUACUUUUAGUAUUCAUGAUGAGCGCCGGCGCGGACUGCCAAGCGCUCGCCAACGACACGGCGCAGCUGGGGGCGCUGCUGGCGACGCACCUCGAGCACACCAUCGACACGCUCAACUCCUUCACGAGCAUCGUGUCGCUGCUCGGCGGCGUGGCCGGUCUCGGGUAGUGGCUGCGUCGACUGUGACCGCGAGUCCUCGAGAGACGCGAAGCGUUCGCCUGUGUGCCGGGUUUUCAUUUAACUAAAGAUAAAAUUAUAAAUAAAUUGUUUUAAUCAUAA